CGGUAACAGGAAACAGCUUGCUGUUUCGCUGACGAGUGGCGGACGGGUGAGUAAUGUCUGGGAAACUGCCUGAUGGAGGGGGAUAACUACUGGAAACGGUAGCUAAUACCGCAUAACGUCGCAAGACCAAAGAGGGGGACCUUCGGGCCUCUUGCCAUCGGAUGUGCCCAGAUGGGAUUAGCUAGUAGGUGGGGUAACGGCUCACCUAGGCGACGAUCCCUAGCUGGUCUGAGAGGAUGACCAGCCACACUGGAACUGAGACACGGUCCAGACUCCUACGGGAGGCAGCAGUGGGGAAUAUUGCACAAUGGGCGCAAGCCUGAUGCAGCCAUGCCGCGUGUAUGAAGAAGGCCUUCGGGUUGUAAAGUACUUUCAGCGGGGAUGAAGGGAGUAAAGUUAAUACCUUUGCUCAUUGACGUUACCCGCAGAAGAAGCACCGGCUAACUCCGUGCCAGCAGCCGCGGUAAUACGGAGGGUGCAAGCGUUAAUCGGAAUUACUGGGCGUAAAGCGCACGCAGGCGGUUUGUUAAGUCAGAUGUGAAAUCCCCGGGCUCAACCUGGGAACUGCAUCUGAUACUGGCAAGCUUGAGUCUCGUAGAGGGGGGUAGAAUUCCAGGUGUAGCGGUGAAAUGCGUAGAGAUCUGGAGGAAUACCGGUGGCG
rnacentral:rRNA from 1 species